AUUGAACGCUGGCGGAAUGCUUUACACAUGCAAGUCGAACGGCAGCACGGGGGCAACCCUGGUGGCGAGUGGCGAACGGGUGAGUAAUACAUCGGAACGUGCCCGGUCGUGGGGGAUAACGUAGCGAAAGUUACGCUAAUACCGCAUACGAUCUGAGGAUGAAAGCGGGGGACCUUCGGGCCUCGCGCGGUCGGAGCGGCCGAUGUCAGAUUAGGUAGUUGGUGGGGUAAAGGCCUACCAAGCCGACGAUCUGUAGCUGGUCUGAGAGGACGACCAGCCACGCUGGGACUGAGACACGGCCCAGACUCCUACGGGAGGCAGCAGUGGGGAAUUUUGGACAAUGGGCGUAAGCCUGAUCCAGCCAUUCCGCGUGCAGGACGAAGGCCUUCGGGUUGUAAACUGCUUUUGUAUGGAACGAAAAGGCUCUGGCUAAUACCUGGGGCUCAUGACGGUACCGUAAGAAUAAGCACCGGCUAACUACGUG
rnacentral:rRNA from 1 species